GGGGAUUUAGCUCAGUGGUAGAGCGUUUGCCUAGCAAGCACAAGGCCCUGAGUUCUGUCCUCAGCUCUG
rnacentral:tRNA from 1 species